rnacentral:rRNA from 1 species
UACGUAGGGCGCAAGCGUUGUCCGGAAUUAUUGGGCGUAAAGAGCUCGUAGGCGGCUUGUCACGUCGAUUGUGAAAACGCCCGAGGCUUAAACCUCGGGGCUCUGCAGCUCGAUACGGGCUGGCUAGAUGGUGUGGGAGGGAGAUCGAAUUCCUGGUGUAGCGGUGAAAUGCGCAGAUAUCAGGAGGAACACCGGUGGCGAAGGCGGAUCUCUGGGCCAUUACUGACGCUGAGGAGCGAAAGCGUGGGGAGCAAACAGG